GACCGCGUAGCUCAGUUGGCAGAGCAUUGGGCUAGUAUUCCAAUGGUCGCAGGUUCGAUUCCCACCGUGGUGA
rnacentral:tRNA from 1 species